UGCAGUCGAGCGAUGAUGCCCAGCUGCUGGGUUGAUUAGUGGCGACGGGUGAGUAACACGUGAGUACCUGCCCCUGACUCUGGGAUAAGCGUUGGAAACGACGUCUAAUACUGGAUAUGAUCGCCGGCCGCAUGGUCUGGUGGUGGAAGAUUUUUUGGUUGGGGAUGGACUCGCGGCCUAUCAGCUUGUUGGUGAGGUAAUGGCUCACCAAGGCGACGACGGGUAGCCGGCCUGAGAGGGUGACCGGCCACACUGGGACUGAGACACGGCCCAGACUCCUACGGGAGGCAGCAGUGGGGAAUAUUGCACAAUGGGCGAAAGCCUGAUGCAGCAACGCCGCGUGAGGGAUGACGGCCUUCGGGUUGUAAACCUCUUUUAGUAGGGAAGAAGCGAAAGUGACGGUACCUGCAGAAAAAGCACCGGCUACUACGUGCCAGCAGCCGCGGUAAUACGUAGGGUGCAAGCGUUGUCCGGAACUAUUGGGCGUAAGAGCUCGUAGCGGUUUGUCGCGUCUGCUGUGAAUCCCGAGGCUCAC
rnacentral:rRNA from 1 species